AGAGUUUGAUCAUGGCUCAGGACGAACGCUGGCGGCGUGCUUAACACAUGCAAGUCGAACGGUAAGGCCCUUCGGGGUACACGAGUGGCGAACGGGUGAGUAACACGUGGGUAAUCUGCCCUGCACAUCGGGAUAAGCCUGGGAAACUGGGUCUAAUACCGAAUAGGACCACAGGACACAUGUCCUGUGGUGGAAAGCUUUUGCGGUGUGGGAUGGGCCCGCGGCCUAUCAGCUUGUUGGUGGGGUGAUGGCCUACCAAGGCGACGACGGGUAGCCGGCCUGAGAGGGUGUCCGGCCACACUGGGACUGAGAUACGGCCCAGACUCCUACGGGAGGCAGCAGUGGGGAAUAUUGCACAAUGGGCGAAAGCCUGAUGCAGCGACGCCGCGUGGGGGAUGACGGCCUUCGGGUUGUAAACCUCUUUCACCAUCGACGAAGGUCCGGGUUUUCUCGGGCUGACGGUAGGUGGAGAAGAAGCACCGGCCAACUACGUGCCAGCAGCCGCGGUAAUACGUAGGGUGCGAGCGUUGUCCGGAAUUACUGGGCGUAAAGAGCUCGUAGGUGGUUUGUCGCGUUGUUCGUGAAAUCUCACGGCUUAACUGUGAGCGUGCGGGCGAUACGGGCAGACUUGAGUACUGCAGGGGAGACUGGAAUUCCUGGUGUAGCGGUGGAAUGCGCAGAUAUCAGGAGGAACACCGGUGGCGAAGGCGGGUCUCUGGGCAGUAACUGACGCUGAGGAGCGAAAGCGUGGGGAGCGAGCAGGAUUAGAUACCCUGGUAGUCCAA
rnacentral:rRNA from 1 species